rnacentral:rRNA from 1 species
UACGUAGGUGGCAAGCGUUGUCCGGAAUUAUUGGGCGUAAAGCGCGCGCAGGCGGUCCUUUAAGUCUGAUGUGAAAGCCCCCGGCUCAACUGGGGAGGGUCACUUGAUACUGAUCGACUCGAAGGCAGAAGAGGGAAGCGGAAUUCCCGGUGUAGUGGUGAAAUGCGUAGAUAUCGGGAGGAACACCAAUGGCGAAGGCAGCUCGCUGGGACGGUACUGACACUGAGACGCGAAAGCGUGGGGAGCAAACAGG